CCUACGGGAGGCAGCAGUAGGGAAUCUUCGGCAAUGGGGGCAACCCUGACCGAGCAACGCCGCGUGAGUGAAGAAGGUUUUCGGAUCGUAAAGCUCUGUUGUAAGUCAAGAACGAGUGUGAGAGUGGAAAGUUCACACUGUGACGGUAGCUUACCAGAAAGGGACGGCUAACUACGUGCCAGCAGCCGCGGUAAUACGUAGGUCCCGAGCGUUGUCCGGAUUUAUUGGGCGUAAAGCGAGCGCAGGCGGUUUGAUAAGUCUGAAGUUAAAGGCUGUGGCUCAACCAUAGUUCGCUUUGGAAACUGUCAAACUUGAGUGCAGAAGGGGAGAGUGGAAUUCCAUGUGUAGCGGUGAAAUGCGUAGAUAUAUGGAGGAACACCGGUGGCGAAAGCGGCUCUCUGGUCUGUAACUGACGCUGAGGCUCGAAAGCGUGGGGAGCGAACAGGAUUAGAUACCCUAGUAGUC
rnacentral:rRNA from 1 species